UCCUACGGGAGGCAGCAGUGAGGAAUAUUGGACAAUGGGCGAAAGCAUGAUCCAGCCAUGCCGCGUGCAGGAAGACGGCCCUAUGGGUUGUAAUCUGCUUUUAUACGGGAAGAAUAAGCAAUACGCGUAGUCGGAUGACGGUACCGUAAGAAUAAGCACCGGCCAACUCCGUGCCAGCAGCCGCGGUAAUACGGAGGGUGCAAGCGUUAUCCGGAAUCAUUGGGUUUAAAGGGUCCGUAGGUGGACUAAUAAGUCAGUGCUGAAAGUAUGCAGCUCAACUGUAGAAUAGCCAUUGAUACUGUUAGUCUUGAAUUGUUAUGAAGUGGAUAGAAUAUGUAGGGUAGCGGGGAAAUGCAUAGAUAUUACAUAGAAUACCAAUUGCGAAGGCAGGCUGCUAAUAAUUGAUUGACACUGAUGGAGGAAAGAGUGGGGAGGGAACAAGAUUAGAUACCCUGGUUGUUCACGCCGUAAACAGAUGG
rnacentral:rRNA from 1 species